rnacentral:rRNA from 1 species
UACGGAGGGUGCGAACGUUGUUCGGAAUUACUGGGCAUAAAGCGCACGUAGGCGGUUGAGUUAGUCUGUUGUGAAAGCCCCCGGCUCAACCGGGGAACUGCAAUGGAAACUGCUCGACUAGAGGACGGUUGGGGUGAGUGGAACUCCUGGUGGAGCGGUGAAAUGCGUAGAUAUCAGGAGGAACACCAGUGGCGAAAGCGACUCACUGGACCGUAACUGACGCUGAGGUGCGAAAGCCAGGGUAGCGAACGGG